CCCUUAGAUGUUCUGGGCUGCACGCGCGCUACAAUGAUGCACACAGCGUGGUUUACUUAGCCGAGAGGCUUGGAUUCUCUUGUAAUGUGCAUCGUGAUGGGGAUAGAUCAUUGUAAUUAUUGAUCUUGAACGAGGAAUGCCUAGUAAGCGCGAGUCAUCAGCUCGCGCUGAUUUCGUCCCUGCCCUUUGUACACACCGCCCGUCGCUCCUGCCAAUGGGCGGGGUGGUAAGAAGGUGGAAUGGACCACGAAUGUAGUGUCUCUGAUCUCCUUCGAGCUAUGUCGUCUAAAGGAAGGAGAAGUCGUAACA
rnacentral:rRNA from 1 species